AUUGAACGCUGGCGGCAGGCCUAACACAUGCAAGUCGAACGAGUGGCGGACGGGUGAGUAAUGUUUGGGAAACUGCCUGAUGGAGGGGGAUAACUACUGGAAACGGUAGCUAAUACCGCAUACCAUCGGAUGUGCCCAGAUGGGAUUAGCUAGUUGGUGGGGUAAAGGCUCACCUAGCCGACGAUCCCUAGCUGGUCUGAGAGGAUGACCAGCAACACUGGGACUGAGACACGGUCCAGACUCCUACGGGAGGCAGCAGUGGAGAAGAUUGCACAAUGGGCGCAAGCCUGAAGCAGCCAUGCCGCGUGUAUGAAGAAGGCCUUCGGGUUGUAAAGUACUUUCAGCGGGGAGGCGUUACCCACAGAAGAAGCACCGGCUAACUCCGUGCCAGCAGCCGCGGUAAUAC
rnacentral:rRNA from 1 species